rnacentral:tRNA from 1 species
GCAUGGAUAGCUCAGUUGGUUAGAAUGUGGUGCUGAUAACACCAAGGUUGCAGGUUUGAUCCCUGUAUGGGACAGCUGCA